rnacentral:lncRNA from 1 species
GACAUAGAGAAAAAAGCAGCAUCCACAGCCCUAGCACAGAGAGCCUUAAUGACAGACAUAACAGUAAAAUGGGAUGAAUCCAGGAUUUUACAAGAACAACAAGACCCGAGAAAGGGCAAAAUUGCUGAAACAAUCGCCAUAUGUAUGAAUCAGAAGUCUCAAGUUCAACUGAUCAAUAAGAUAGAUCCGAUGACCAUCAGUAUGGCUUGGAAGUCGUGUAAAAUGACUAUACUGUUAGAUGAGAAGGCUAUCUUAAAUUAAUUAUGUUCUUAUAGUUUAUAAACAAGUUUGUAGAUAUUAAUAGAUGUCGCUUUAUAUUUUUGUAUAUACCGAAUGGUGUAAACUACAAUUCAUAUAUAAUUUCUAUUUAUUUUAUUUUAAGUUGAACUCAAUGUUUAUUGUUACGGAUAGUAACCCAAC